CUGAAGUUAUGUAUGAAAAUUGUAUAAUUAUUAUUAAUUGUAUAUGUGAUAUAUUUUGUUGUGGAUAUUUAAAACUAUCAAGCUUCUGAUAAUAGCAUUGGUUUUUUUUUAUUUUUGCGAAUUUAAUUUCUUUAGUUUCAUUCAGUGACCACUGUUUAUUGAGAUGGAUAGAAUCCAAAUCCAUAAAGUUGUUUCUAAUAAUAUGAUUUACAUUAAAAUAGAUUUAGUGUUAUACGUAGGCUAAAUAUUGUCGGACACGUUUUCCUGAAUUUGCAUUUUAUUUGUUUAUUUGGCGGUGCGAUCUUUCAUUAGUUUCUGUUAUAAAUUCAUAAGUUUUGCAAUCGGAUAUAAUUAUAUGUUGUUAGUUAAUUUAAAUAUGUUGUUUUUAUAGUUUUACUUGAACAGAAUGCGGUCGUCACACUUUUCGACAGCCAGUUUUCGUUUUAUAUCGAUACAUGCUCACGCUGUUCACUUAAAAUAAUAAGUAUACAAUAUCGUUCGAUGUCGCCUUUCAUCAUAAUAAUAUGUCACAGUCUGCAAUACAAGAACAAACGAGAGGCAAACGACCUACAAAAAAAUAAAAUAACAAUAAAAAAUACAUACAUGCCCACGUGACACUGAUUUCACAUUGGGUACCUAUAUAAAAAUGCUCAUAUUUGUUAUAUCUACGUGAGUCCGAGAAAGUAAAAAUUUGGAGGUUGUGCGUGUAUUUCACUUAACCUUUAUAGCGUGCUGAAAAUAAUACACUAUUAUGACUUAUGGCGUAAUAAUAACCGCACGAAAUCAUAAAUUAUAUAAAUACGUUUUUUAGGCACACAUAGUAUUUUUCAAUAAUUGUCUUUGAGCAUCACAUUUGUAUAAUAAUUACCCAGUGGUACUUAAUAAAACAUACGUUAUUUUUUAGCAGAUUACAAUUUGAGUACAUAAACAAAUUGAAAAACUUGAAAAAUAUUUCAAUAAUUAGUAUAUGAUAAAAA